rnacentral:lncRNA from 1 species
AUGACAACAUCCUGGGAUGUAACCGUUUCAAAAAGAGCUUUAUGUGGGGCAGAGUGCUCCCGUCUGCCUAUUAUCCCUGCCUGUCAAUAUCCAGAGAACUGUAGGAAAUUUAAAAACAAAACAACACACUGUGCAGUUUCUCUCAAAGACUUUUCAGACACAGCCUUCUUAUUGUCCAAGAUCUUGCAAGUGAGAACAGUUCAUGUCCACAAGCUGACUGAGAACAUGGUGCAGCUGCCUAUGAUGCCAGGCCAGACUGAGUCAUGUUGUAUAACACAUUACCUGAGUUUGUGUACUUUGGUGAUAACAGUAGUAUGGGAACAUAAAGACUGGACUCAAAACCAGUUUCAGUUUUGUGGAAAGUAUUUUUAUAAACUAUUAUUUUGUGUAGGUUUCCAUUUUUCCAAUUCAGCAGUUGUCAUUUUUGUUAUAUUACAGAAGAAGAAAAAAAUUCCAAAAGUACUGCACUUGGGUAAGGGCAACCCCAGACAUAUGUGCAGACUGGGAGAACAACUUCUUGAGAGUAACCCUGCUGAGAAGGAUUUAGGAGUCCUGGUAGAUGAAAACGUUAACAUGAGCCAGCAGGGUGCGCUUGCAGCCCAGAAGUGCAAUGGUAUCCUGGGUUAUAUUAGAAGUGGGAGUGUCAGCAGGCGACUGUCCCUCCCUGCCUUCUUGACACCCUAUCUGGAGUAUUGUGUCCAGGCUUGGGGCCCCCAGUACAGGAAAGAUGUGGAGCUUUUGGAGAAACUCCAGAGGAGGACCAGGAAGAUGAUCAGAAGGCUGGAGCACCUCUCCUAUGAAGACAGGCUGAGGGAGCUGGGCUUGUUCAGUCUGGAGAAGAGAGGGCUCGGAAGAGACCUCAUUACAGCCUUGCAGUCUUUAAAGGGAGAUUAUAAACAGGAGGGUAAUCAACUUUUUACACAGGUGAAUAUCGAUAGGACAAGGGGAAAUGUUUUUAAAUUAAAGGAGAGGAGAUUUAGACUCGAUGUCAGGGGAAAGUUUUUCACAGAGGGUGGUGAGGCAGUGGCACAGGCUGCCCAGAGAAGUUGUGGGUGCCCCAUCCCUGGAGGUGUUCAGGGUCAGGUAGGAUAA